AUGAAAAUCAUCUUUCCCUCUCUCUCACUCACUCACUCACUCUUUCAUCAACUCAAAUACAAGCUUCUCUCUUCAAAAUUUAACCCGAUUUCUAAACAAACCUACUCCUCUUCAUUUGAGCACAAAAUUGAAUAGAUGGGGAAAGGCGCUGAAUCCGUCCGGCCCGAAAAUAGGCCCGAAUCGAAACAGGGAGCAUCAGUGCAGGUCGGAGGCGGCCGAGUGCAGAUUAAAGUGGAUCUGAAUCCCGAGGAAACCACGAUUGUUUCCUGGACAAAGAUUCUCAAAAGAGAAAAUUUGAGUAAGGCCGAUGGGCCCGAUCCGUCGGCUCCGGGCCCAUCUUUUGAAGCCUGUGACGACGAGCAGCCAACUUCUCCUCCUGCGGCGCCUUCUCAAAACAAUGAAACGAACUUGCAUGGCAGCAGGGAUGAGGAGGAUCUUGUUCUUCACGACAUGCCUGAUGAAGAUGACUACAACAUCGAUGAUUCUUUCAUUGAUGAUACAGAGUUGUUAGACCACCUUCUACAGAUCCUCAGGAUCCUGUUAAUCAAUCUCACUCUGGCAAAAAGAGAUUGCCUUCAGAAAUAAAACUGGAGCUUGCAAAAGUGGCUAGAAUAGCGGGCUCCUGCUAUAGACGGAUUCCAAAGGAUGUUAUCAGCCGUCUAAUGAGCAUUUUGGGCCACUUGAUGAAGAUUGAGACCCUGAGAGAAAUCUUCAAGCUAUGGCUAAUGCGGGAUUAUCCGCUAAACAAGAGAAGUAUGAUAAAAUACUGAAGAUGAAACAAGAAGUUGCUGAAAUGGUGAAAUCACGGGCUGCGGGCAGGAAACAAAAAACACAGCUUCAACGUUGUGUUGGAAAAUAAAAUUUGUAAACUAUAUGAACUUUAUGUUGAGAGACUAGAAGAAGACUCCGGUCCUCUAGUCGAAAAUCUAUAUGGAGAGCUGGCUUCGUUGUGGCCCGAUGGCUUCAUGAAUACUAAUAGGAUUAAACACGCUAUAUACAGAGCUAAAGAAAGGAAAGGCAUUCGCAGUUUCCAGAAGGAUCGAGAGAAAAUCAAGGAGAAAAAUGUUUUACCACAUGAUGCCUCUAACAAUGCACAUGGAACAAGUUAAAGAAGUUGAUCAAGUUUGCAAUCGAAAAAGUAAGCAAAAUGGACGCCCAUUGCCGAGGUGGCUGAAGUUAUUCUUUGCCUUGAGAAGAUGUUUAUUUCGCAAGGCGGAGAAAGGGCACAAACUUGAUAAGCAUUGAACUUGCUAAUAUUUGUAUGAAUGCAUUGAACUUAUAAUAUUUUGAGUUGUAAUGAACAUAUACUAAAUGUAAUUUGAUAAAUAAUUGAAAAUGGUAUAGUAUUUCAAGAUAGCGAGAAAUGUGAAGUCAUGUUUA